GGGCAGCAUUUCAUUUUGCUUGCAAAGUGAAGAUGGCGACCGGCGCACGGGUGAGUAACACGUAUCCAACCUGCCGAUAACUCGGGGAUAGCCUUUCGAAAGAAAGAUUAAUAUCCGAUAGCAUAUCAAUCCCGCAUGAGAUUGAUAUUAAAGAAUUUCGGUUAUCGAUGGGGAUGCGUUCCAUUAGUUUGUUGGCGGGGUAACGGCCCACCAAGACUACGAUGGAUAGGGGUUCUGAGAGGAAGGUCCCCCACAUUGGAACUGAGACACGGUCCAAACUCCUACGGGAGGCAGCAGUGAGGAAUAUUGGUCAAUGGACGUAAGUCUGAACCAGCCAAGUAGCGUGAAGGAUGACUGCCCUAUGGGUUGUAAACUUCUUUUAUAUGGGAAUAAAGUAUUCCACGUGUGGGAUUUUGUAUGUACCAUAUGAAUAAGGAUCGGCUAACUCCGUGCCAGCAGCCGCGGUAAUACGGAGGAUCCGAGCGUUAUCCGGAUUUAUUGGGUUUAAAGGGAGCGUAGGUGGAUUGUUAAGUCAGUUGUGAAAGUUUGCGGCUCAACCGUAAAAUUGCAGUUGAAACUGGCAGUCUUGAGUACAGUAGAGGUGGGCGGAAUUCGUGGUGUAGCGGUGAAAUGCUUAGAUAUCACGAAGAACUCCGAUUGCGAAGGCAGCUCACUAGACUGUCACUGACACUGAUGCUCGAA
rnacentral:rRNA from 1 species